ACAGCUCCAACCACAACUAACUGAUCCUCUAGCUAAGGCAGAGAGGAAUUAGUGUAUCAAAGUACACUUGUAUUGCCAUGCAGCUGGAAACUGGGGACCUACAAAGAUAGGGAGCAUCUGUACACAAUGUAGGUGAGCUGAAAAAAACCUAACUGAUUCUGCAAAGACACAGAUUUACACAGAAUGGGCUCAGAGGCAGAACCGGAGGCAAAACUGAGCAUUUCAGGGGUGAGAAAGCGUAACAAAGAGGACAUUCUAUCCCCACUACAUGAAUGAGGAACUAAGAAACAAGUAUUAAUCAAUUAAUCAGAUAUUCAAAGAAACAGGCACAAAAUCACUGAAAAAAAGCACAGAUCCAUAUAAUAACCUAUUAAGCUGCUACAAUACAAUUUUAUCAUGAUUAAUAUAACAUUUCAUGUGUUUGUUUAUUCCAUCUCCUGAACAGUCCCUUAAACAUUAAGGUUUAAAAGUAACAACCUGAACACGAAAGGGGGCAUAUUUUGAGAACCUCAAAUGUAAUUUAAAUGAAUCACAGAAUUAUUCAGGUGGAAGCAAACCCUGGAAGGUCUCUUAGGCUCACAUCCUCCACAAAGCAGGGCUAGUGAUGAAUUCAGACCAUUUUGUGAGGGCUCUUAUCCAAGAAGUGCCAAAUAGAGGGGAAGAUGUCCCUCAAUAUCCUGGCUAUGUUCUUUCUUAUUGGUACAGACCAGGACAGUGUUGCCAAACUUAAUAAGAAUAUCCUGUCUCCUCUCUAGGUCAUGAAAGUUGUUUAAACAAGAUGGACCCUGAAGAAUGCCACUUGUAACCAGCCUUCAGACAGAAUAUGAACACUUAAGCAGUAUCCCUGAGAUCUGAUAGUUCAGUUUUUCUAUGUAUCCAGCAGUACAGCUGGACUGUACGGCACAAGGAUCUAGACUACGGCAUAAGGAUGGUAUCACUGAAGAGCUCAAAACCCUUGCUGAAGUCAAGUUAACAGGAACCUCUUCCAGUCCUCAUAAUCCUUCAAAGAUAGUAUCUCUGCAAUGACACCAGCCAACUCUGUCAGCACCUUCACAUGCAUUUCCCUGGGUUGCAUGGACAGGUUAGAUUUGCUCCAGCUUGCUAUAGGAAGCACUUCUCUUAAAGUACAGCCACAUGGACCGGAUGUCCCUUCCUUGAACUCAGCAGCAGGCGGGACACAAAGGGUCGAGAAAAGGCUGCUGAGGCACAAGCGGAACAAGGCAGAGCACAGCAGGGAAGUGGCACCAGUGAGAAGACUGCAGAAAAGAAGGAGAGAGCAUGGAUGUAUUGGGUUGACCCUGAGUUGAUGGACAGUCUUUAAGACCAAUUGCGCUUCUCACAAUUUACAUAUUUAAACCACACAGAAAGGCGGGACUUCGCUUUUUGUCGGAGGUCGCCGGCUGGAAGGUGGGGGGGCUCCGAGCCUCCCGGCCCCGCUGGGCCGGGCCGGGGCCACUGCCCC